rnacentral:rRNA from 1 species
UACGUAGGGACCAAGCGUUGUCCGGAAUCAUUGGGCGUAAAGAGCGUGUAGGCGGCUUGUUAAGUCUUGCGUGAAAUCUCGGGGCUCAACCCCGAGCGGUCGUGAGAAACUGGCGGGCUUGAGGACGGAAGAGGGGCGUGGAAUUCCUGGUGUAGCGGUGAAAUGCGUAGAGAUCAGGAGGAACACCCGUGGCGAAGGCGGCGCCCUGGUCCGUUACUGACGCUGAGAUGCGAAAGCGCGGGGAGCGAACGGG